CAGGCGGGUAAAUUGAAUGAGGAGUAUGCAGCCCCCCCAAGUGCUAGUGAGUUGCCACCCCCAGAGCUUUUCACACAAAUGCAUCCUCAGGAGCAAAUGGCAGCCCAAGUAUCUACACCCGAUAAUUGUAACCAGACCUCAAGCAGUGUAAUCUGUGAAGAGGCCGAUGACACGUGGUCCAGCUGUAACAGUGAUGCCGACAAAGGUGAAGUUAACACCACCUCCACACCAAUGGCACCAAAACUUCGCACAAAGCGACGUUUAGCAGCACAAUUUGCAGCAAACUGAUCAAGGAAUUUUCCAAUAAAGUACAGCAUUGUGUUCAUCACAAUAGCCUAGUUCCAUAAGUACUGGUUUAGGUGAUUUUGUGCAAUAAUUUUUGAGGUUUUGUAAAGUAUUAGUGUCCGUCCAUAGACCAUGUUCAGUAUCAAUUCCUAUGACAUCUCAGUUAUGUGAACUGAUGCAUUUCUUAUUUAACUUGUUGGUUAAUUUUUCUUUGUAUUGUUGAAUUUUUUCUAGAUAUAUCUAGAUUUAAAGCAUUCUAUAAUUUAAAUGAAGAGAAAUUUUAAAAGUCUCUUGGCUAUUUACCACGUUGAUUAUGGUGCGACUUUACAUAAAAUUAUUUAAUCAUUCCAUGAAUGGGCGGUUAUUAUCAUAAACAUAGUUGUUGUCAAAGAUAGACCAGGAAGGAAGGGGGAUUUAAUAUUACAUAAUGUUUUGUCACUGUUGAUCAGUAUAUCAAGAUUUCUUAAAAGUGCAAAUGUUUACAUAUUUAGAUUUAGCAAAUGUCAAUUUGCAGUUUCAGCCAAUGUAAACCUGUAAACGAAAGAAAAACAUAGUACAAAUGGUUGGACAAAGAUGUGUUAAUUUCUUGUUCCAAAUGUACAAAUACAGAAGAUGAACUUACCAUAUGCUGUUGUUUAUUGGGCAUUUUGAAGGCAGCAUUAUUUGAAAUAGCACAGGAAGUAUUCUUCAAAAAUGUUUCUAUGAUCUAUUAAAGAUUGUUGUGUUUGAAGCUUGUUGGUCAUUUUUUUCUAGUUUUGAGAAUUGAAGAUUCCCAUAUAAGGUUAACAACUAAUUUCGGACUAGGUGAAAAAUGGAAGGGAAGUUGAGCCGAGGCAGUUUAGUUUUUUCCUCAAAGCUGGGGUCUAUUGUGAUGUAGAAUAAUUUCAUUCUAUUGAUGUAAGUUUAGAAGCACUUGUGAAGUAACUUCCUUAAUGUUCUUGUUUUUUUGAUACAACUUUUUAUAUAUUUGAAAAGUAUUGUGAGUUGUUGAUCAACAAGCUUCCAUCAGUUUUGUUCCUAAGUAGGAGUAAAAAUGCCUCAUUUUUUUAUGACAUUUCGUUAAUCUUGUAUGGUUAUUCUUAUGAAUACAACUACAAAUACCAUUUUACUUGUCUUGACAUAGCCUGACAUGCUAGUUUUGGGUUACCGGUACAAUAUUUCUGCUGUAUUAUAGCAUUAUAGUAUAUAGCAUUCAAGAGUUUGAGAAUGCAAGAUUGCAUAUUUCUGUGCUGAAAAUGUUAUGAUUAGCUUAAUCACAACAUCUAGUCUGUUAUUUAUUUUGAUAUUUAAGUCUGAUAGCAGACUGUACAAAAAUGCAUCAGCAGCUGUUAUAAGCCAACAAGUUUGUCAGGGUUUUGUCAAGCUUUUGUCAGUGUUGGUAAUGGGGUUCUCAGUGUUACACUGAAACAUUCCUUGUUGUGGAAGUUGAAAUAAAUGUUUAUUAUAAA